CGAGGGACUGUAGAAAAUGCAGCUUUCUUGAGUAAUCAAGAUUGAAAAACGAGGUGAAUUCGGGGGAACCCAGCUAAUUCAAUAGCUGGGCAAUCCCGAGCCAAUCCUUGGUUGGAGUUUUGUAAGGUUUGCCUUACAGAAGCUUUAACGAAGGCAGGUGUAGAGACUAUCCCGCUUGCAUCCUUCCGUAGCCUUGUGCGAAGGAGGAAAGGGAGUACUCUGACGCGACGUCGGAGGAAGCGCCUCGGGUCCAAAUUGGAUCGUGAUAUAGUCCACUCCUAGAGUAAUCUAGGG
rnacentral:ncRNA from 1 species